rnacentral:lncRNA from 1 species
CCGCCACCCAGGCCCUUCACUCUUCUACUGAACCACUUUCUUCCAUGUGCACACGCUGAUUUCUCAACCUGGAAUCAUUUCCCUACACCUUUCCUCAAAGGACUGUUAAUGAGUUUUCAGAGGUACUUCACUGAAAUGUAACUACCACAAUGCAUCCUUUCCAUGUGACUAACUUCGCUCAUGGACCAGAAUCACUGUGGCUCUGCCCUGGAGUGGUGCAAAGAGCUCGCAUUCUGUUUGGAAAGCAAAUUAUUUAAAUCCAGUAGAGGACUCUCAAAUGUGGUUGGAAAAUCUAAGAAGACUUCCCAGAGGCAGCAGCACUAGUGUUAGGGAAAGAGCUCACAAAUUCCAUUGCUGUAGAAUCCAUGUGUUGAAGACCGCUACACUGGAAUCUAGUUUUCUAUCCUAAAAUCUACCUCCUGAGUUUGAGUAAGACUUGAACUAGUUUGCAAAUAUCUGUGAUCUUCACCUUGCCUGCCUGCAAAGCCCAUAAGCAAGUUCAGAAGAGACUUCUACUUGUCCAAAGCAACAUGGAGUAAAGUGGGUCAACUAGAAUUAAAAUAUGCUCCAGCCAAAGGUGACCAUGGAAACCUAUUGAUAAGGCUCUGGGGUCAGAUUCAUCUCUGUUCAGACAACUCUAGCGGUGUGACUCUGAGCAAGUGUUUUUUAACCUAAGUUCCUGCUUCCUCAACUGCAAAUGUAGGAAUGGUAACAUCUUCCUCAAAGUUGUAUGCUGGGGAUAACACAUGAAGGAGAUGCCUGGGCCAUAUAAUUAUUUAAGAAAUGUUCAUUUCUUUCUUGAACUACCUUCUACCAACUAUUUGGUCUGAGUUUAUGAAACUGUAAAUUUUGUCUAACAUUUGCCUAACAAAGCAUUAUUACCUUGCUUAAAGAAACACACAAUACAUUCUAAACCAAAAAUAAUUUGAAUGUAAUCCAUUAUUUUGGAUUAAUCUAUAUCAUCACUCCCCUCCCUUAGAGAAGACAGGCCAAGAGUUGGUUGCAAUAAUUUUUGAAGUAAAUUGAAGACCUUAUAAUUAACACUUAAGUCGGAGAAGUUAUUAUAUUUUCCAGUGUUUCAGUAUUUACAGUCCAAAAUAGUGUUCAUCCUCAGAAUAUAAAGCCCUUUUACCUUUAAUGAUAUAUCAAAUGCAUUGGCAAAUACAGCUGUUGUUAGUAAAUUCCUAUUUAACAGAUGGGCAAGAUGAGGUAGUGAGAUUAAAUGACUAGCCCAUGGCUAAUAUGUGAUUAGAAAGACAAAUUUAAUCAUAGUUGCCAUUUGACUUCCUUUCAAAACUAGAAUUAAAUUUCAAGUGUCUCCUGACUCCCAGUUUGGUGCUUAUUUCACUACAGUGCAAUAUGUGCUUUAUUACAUGCUUUAAAAUAAGAGGAGAGAGUGGGGAGGCAUAAGCACCUUCCUCCUAAAAGGCACAAAGCACAAAAUACGAGGGAAAUAGUCCAUCAUUAAUUUUCAUAACAUUCCCCGUAAGACAACAAUGAGUACCGACUCUCCCUUAGUCAGGAGGAUGGUGUAGAAACCUAAGUUUAAAAAAAGAUGCACAAGAUGCCCACAGAUACUCAAGAAAUCAAAAAGAC